rnacentral:rRNA from 1 species
GACGAACGCUGGCGGCGUGCUUAACACAUGCAAGUCGAACGGAAAGGCUCCAGCUUGCUGGAGUACUCGAGUGGCGAACGGGUGAGUAACACGUGGGUAAUCUGCCCUGCACUCUGGGAUAAGCCUGGGAAACUGGGUCUAAUACUGGAUAUGACCUUUCUCCUUAUGGGGUUUGGUGGAAAGUUUUUCGGUGUAGGAUGAGCCCGCGGCCUAUCAGCUUGUUGGUGGGGUGAUGGCCUACCAAGGCGACGACGGGUAGCCGGCCUGAGAGGGUGAUCGGCCACAUUGGGACUGAGAUACGGCCCAGACUCCUACGGGAGGCAGCAGUGGGGAAUAUUGCACAAUGGGCGGAAGCCUGAUGCAGCGACGCCGCGUGAGGGAUGACGGCCUUCGGGUUGUAAACCUCUUUCAGCAGGGACGAAGCGUAAGUGACGGUACCUGCAGAAGAAGCACCGGCUAACUAUGG